rnacentral:rRNA from 1 species
UACAGAGGGUGCAAGCGUUGUUCGGAAUUAUUGGGCGUAAAGCGCGUGUAGGCGGCAUGGCAAGUGGAUGGUGAAAUCCCUCGGCUUAACCGAGGAACUGCCGUCCAAACUGCUUCGCUUGAGACCGGGAGAGGUGAGUGGAAUUCCCAGUGUAGCGGUGAAAUGCGUAGAUAUUGGGAGGAACACCAGUGGCGAAGGCGGCUCACUGGACCGGUACUGACGCUGAUGCGCGAAAGCGUGGGAGCAACGGGG